GACGAACGCUGGCGGCGUGCUUAACACAUGCAAGUCGAACGGAAAGGCCCUGCUUUUGUGGGGUGCUCGAGUGGCGAACGGGUGAGUAACACGUGAGUAACCUGCCCUUGACUUUGGGAUAACUUCAGGAAACUGGGGCUAAUACCGGAUAGGAGCUCCUGCUGCAUGAUGGGGGUUGGAAAGUUUCGGCGGUUGGGGAUGGACUCGCGGCUUAUCAGCUUGUUGGUGGGGUAGUGGCUUACCAAGGCCUUGACGGGUAGCCGGCCUGAGAGGGUGACCGGCCACAUUGGGACUGAGAUACGGCCCAGACUCCUACGGGAGGCAGCAGUGGGGAAUAUUGCACAAUGGGCGGAAGCCUGAUGCAGCAACGCCGCGUGCGGGAUGACGGCCUUCGGGUUGUAAACCGCUUUCGCCUGUGACGAAGCGUGAGUGACGGUAAUGGGUAAAGAAGCACCGGCUAACUACGUG
rnacentral:rRNA from 1 species